CUGGUCUGAGAGGAUGAUCAGCCACACUGGAACUGAGACACGGUCCAGACUCCUACGGGAGGCAGCAGUGGGGAAUAUUGCACAAUGGGCGCAAGCCUGAUGCAGCCAUGCCGCGUGUGUGAAGAAGGCCUUCGGGUUGUAAAGCACUUUCAGCAGUGAGGAAGGCGGGUACGUUAAUAGCGUGCUCGUUUGACGUUAGCUGCAGAAGAAGCACCGGCUAACUCCGUGCCAGCAGCCGCGGUAAUACGGAGGGUGCGAGCGUUAAUCGGAAUUACUGGGCGUAAAGCGCAUGCAGGUGGUUCGUUAAGUCAGAUGUGAAAGCCCGGGGCUCAACCUCGGAACUGCAUUUGAAACUGGCGGACUAGAGUACUGUAGAGGGGGGUAGAAUUUCAGGUGUAGCGGUGAAAUGCGUAGAGAUCUGAAGGAAUACCGGUGGCGAAGGCGGCCCCCUGGACAGAUACUGACACUCAGAUGCGAAAG
rnacentral:rRNA from 1 species